rnacentral:rRNA from 1 species
AGAACGAACGCUGGCGGCAGGCUUAACACAUGCAAGUCGAACGGUUGUAGCAAUACAACAGUGGCAGACGGGUGAGUAACACGUGGGAACCUUCCUAGGGGUACGGAACAACUCAGGGAAACUUGAGCUAAUACCGUAUACGUCCGUAAGGAGAAAGAUUCAUCCGCCCCUAGACGGGCCCGCGUAGGAUUAGGUAGUUGGUGAGGUAACGGCUCACCAAGCCUACGAUCCUUAGCUGAUCUGAGAGGAUGAUCAGCCACACUGGACUGAGACACGGCCCAGACUCCUACGGGAGCAGCAGUGGGAAUCUGGACAAGUGGGCGCAAGCCUGAUCCGAGCCAUGCCGCGUGAGUGAAAGAGGUCCGUUCGGGUAGUAAGCUUCUUUACCGAGGACGAUAA